rnacentral:rRNA from 1 species
UACGUAGGGACCAAGCGUUGUUCGGAUUUACUGGGCGUAAAGGGCGCGUAGGCGGCAAUUCAAGUCAUCUGUGAAAUCUCCGGGCUUAACUCGGAACGGCCAAGUGAAACUGUCAUGCUAGAGUGCAGAAGGGGCAAUCGGAAUUCUUGGUGUAGCGGUGAAAUGCGUAGAUAUCAAGAGGAACACCUGAGGUGAAGACGGGUUGCUGGGCUGACACUGACGCUGAGGCGCGAAAGCCAGGGGAGCAAACGGG